rnacentral:rRNA from 1 species
AUGGCGGGCAACGUUUGUGAGUCACAGGUGUUCGCCAAUGUUCCUGAGGGGUUUGUCAAACUCCUCAUCUCCAUCACCAAGAUCGCGAUCGGGCCAUCAGUCCGUCCGGAGUUCACACUCUACCGGCACAAGCUCAGCGACAGUUUGUCCAUGUACCAGGCCGCAGUUCAGUUCAAGGGAGGACGCGCCGAGUUCCACCGCUUCCGGUUCGUCGGGAGGGCCAUGCCUACGGAGAGGCAUGCCAUGCAGACGGCUGCCCGCGAGGCAAUAGCUCGUCUCCGGGAUGUUCUUUCUUCAAUGAAGACUCGUCGCUACCGCUACCUCCCAUGCCACGUGCCAUACACUUGCCACUAUGCAUUCGCUUGCACCAGGGGAGAAAGAGAUGAGGCUAUUGAGAUGCUUGUUGAGUACCUCAAGGCACUAGAGGCAGCUUUCGACAACCUCGUGGACAACCUCGUAGCUGCUCGCAUGGAUUCCAUCCAUGGCUGCUCCGCCAACAGGAGGGAGCUCCUCCACAUGGCACCACCACUGACGUUCGUCUCGUCCUCAGCAUCAUAUACACCGGCCAUCUUAGCCACCGCUCGUCGCCUACCCACCACCGAGGAGUUUGACCAGGUCAUUGCUCCUACUCCCGUCAGAGCCGCACCACCUGCCACACCCGCGCCAGCUCCACAACCCAGUACUUCGCGCCUGGAGACUAUCAUUGAGGAAGAGGUUGAGUCUCCAGCACCACUGGGUCUUACCCUCGGCAGGCCAAAGGAGGUCUUCACCAUCUCCGACCGAGAACGCCUAGCAGCAGCGUGA